AAGUGGCUUGGGAGUUGGGAUUUCUAGUUUCUUCUAUUUCUAACGGGAUCUGUUUUCUUGGCUAUGGUUCUUUGUGGGAUUUUACACAGAAAAGUUAAAUUUUCAACUAACAAGCUAGUUUUGAGGUCCCAUGACUGUCUGUGAGACAGCAUACCGUUCCUGGAGAAAUAUUAACACUUUUCAUAUUCAUAUUUCAAAUAAAUAAGCUCAACCCAGGACUCCAAUUCUUCCUGGGUCACAAACUCACAUGGAGAAAUGUCAAGUUUUCAAGCAAUUUUACUCAAUUUUAAUAAUUUCUCAGAAUAAACAUGGAGUUAGGGUGACUUUUGCUGCUUACCCUGGGG
rnacentral:lncRNA from 1 species